rnacentral:rRNA from 1 species
UACAGAGGGUGCAAGCGUUGUUCGGAAUUACUGGGCGUAAAGGGCGCGUAGGCGGCCUUCUAAGUCGAACGUGAAAUCCCCGGGCUCAACCCGGGAACUGCGUCCGAUACUGGAAGGCUUGAAUCCGGGAGAGGGAUGCGGAAUUCCAGGUGUAGCGGUGAAAUGCGCAGAUAUCUGGAGGAACACCGGUGGCGAAGGCGGCAUCCUGGACCGGUAUUGACGCUGAGGCGCGAAAGCCAGGGGAGCAAACGGG